rnacentral:rRNA from 1 species
GCAACGCGAAGAACCUUACCUUGGUCUUGACAUCCCGGAGACCCUUAGGAAACUACGGGGGUGCUCCAUCUGGAAGAAUCUGGAGACAGGUGCUGCAUGGCUGUCGUCAGCUCGUGUCGUGAGAUGUUGGGUUAAGUCCCGCAACGAGCGCAACCCUUGCCUUUAGUUGCCAGCAGUUCGGCUGGGCACUCUAAAGGGACUGCCGGUGUUAAACCGGAGGAAGGUGGGGAUGACGUCAAGUCCUCAUGGCCUUUAUGACCAGGGCUACACACGUACUACAAUGGCCGAUACAAAGGGCAGCGACACUGCGAGGUGAAGCCAAUCCCGUAAAAUCGGUCUCAGUCCGGAUUGGAGUCUGCAACUCGACUGCGUGAAGUCGGAAUCGCUAGUAAUCGUGAAUCAGAAUGUCACGGUGAAUACGUUCCCGGGCCUU